rnacentral:rRNA from 1 species
UACGGAGGGUGCAAGCGUUAUCCGGAUUCACUGGGUUUAAAGGGUGCGUAGGCGGGCAGGUAAGUCAGUGGUGAAAUCCCCGAGCUUAACUCGGGAACUGCCAUUGAUACUAUCUGUCUUGAAUAUUGUGGAGGUAAGCGGAAUAUGUCAUGUAGCGGUGAAAUGCUUAGAUAUGACAUAGAACACCUAUUGCGAAGGCAGCUUACUACGCAUAUAUUGACGCUGAGGCACGAAAGCGUGGGGGUCAAACAGG